AUGUUGUGGCUCAGUGGUAGAGCACUUGCCUAGCAUAAGUGAGGCACUGGGUUCGAUCCCCAGCACCACAUA
rnacentral:tRNA from 1 species